GUGCCAGCCGCCGCGGUAAGACGAACCGUGCGAACGUUGUUCGGAAUCACUGGGCUUGAAGGGCGCGUAGGCGGGCGACCAAGUCCGGGGUGAAAGCCCACGGCCCAACCGUGGAAGGGCCCCGGAUACUGGCCGCCUCGAGGGAGGUAGGGGCGUGUGGAACUUCCGGUGGAGCGGUGAAAUGCGUAGAGAUCGGAAGGAACGCCGGUGGCGAAAGCGACACGCUGGACCUCUUCUGACGCUGAGGCGCGAAAGCCAGGGGAGCAAACGGGAUUAGAAACCCCCGUAGUCC
rnacentral:rRNA from 1 species